rnacentral:rRNA from 1 species
UACGUAGGGGGCUAGCGUUGUCCGGAUUUACUGGGCGUAAAGAGUGUGUAGGCGGUGCUCUAAGUUCGGUGUGAAAUCUCCUGGCUUAACUGGGAGGGUGCGCCGAAAACUGGAAGGCUUGAGUAUGGGAGAGGUAAGCGGAAUUCCUGGUGUAGCGGUGAAAUGCGUAGAUAUCAGGAGGAACACCUGCGGUGUAGACGGCUUACUGGACCAUAACUGACGCUGAGGCACGAAAGCGUGGGUAGCAAACAGG